rnacentral:tRNA from 1 species
GCAGGUGUAGUUCAGUGGUAGAACACUAGCCUUCCAAGCUAGUUAUGCGGGUCCGAUUCCCGUCACCUGCUCCA